ACAAGAAUGUUUAUCUGUUAAUGGAUGCUAUCAUAUCAAUUAUAUAAAUGCAAUGACUGGCUUUCUCAAUGAAACUCAUACUAUUACAGUGUUGACAGGGUUGCAGUACUCGGGGAUUGGAAAGUAUGCUCUUAUAGUAAAAGUAAUGCAUGUUUUCUAAUUCUACGUCAAGGUUUGAAUACUCGGUGUUUGAAAUGUUAUGUUUUAAACUUACAUAUGUUUAUGAAGGUUUCGAUCGAAGGUUGUGUUCCUUUAGUAAAAAUAGUGCCAAAUGCUAUGUAUAUUUGUGUAAUUAAUACUUUUAGGUCACAAAUUAUCUCAUUUAAGAAUAAAAAGAAAUAUAAACGCCUCUUUUGGGGGAACCAUUGGUAAGUAAACUCUUUUGUUGUUUAGGUUUUAAUUUUAUUAAGCGAAGAGGAAUGAAGUCAAUUAAGUCAUGUGUAACGCAUUGCUUUAGCGAAUACACAAGCUUUCUAGACGUUUUCACAUUUGUUUUUCAGCAAAAAGUCAGGAGGGUUUUGUUUACCAAUGUGAUCUCCCCGAAAGGAAGAGAUUAAAGAAGAUCCGAUAAAGGAUGUGCCCGGAUACCCGGAGGACUGCGCCUGGCUGAGGCAGUCAGAAACGUUGAGACCAUCGAAAGAAACAUGUUGCUUUUUACGAGACAGUUGCGAGAAGUGAAAGAACACAUAAAAGAAAAAGUUAUAAAAUGAAUUUUAAAUGUAGUAAAUAAAAAAUAAAGUAACAACAAGAACUACAAA